AACGAACGCUGGCGGCGUGCUUAACACAUGCAAGUCGAACGAAGAGCGAUGGGCUCUUGCUUCUAUCCAUCUGGGUGACGGACGAGUGAUUAACGCGUAAUCAACCUGCCCUUCGGGGGGGGACAGCAGUUGGAAACUACUUCUCAUAUCGCAUACGAUCUGGCCUCGGCAUCGAGGUCGGACGUAGGGCGGCCUCGUCAUGUAAGCUAUCACUGAAGAAGGGGAUUGCGUCUGGUUAGCUAGGUGGAGGGGUAACGGCCCAUCAAGGCGAUGGUCAGUAGCCGGUCUGAGAGGAUGAACGGCCACAUUGGGACUGAGACACGGCCCAGACUCCUACGGGAGGCAGCAGUGGGGGAUCUUCCGCAAUGGACGAAAGUCUGACGGAGCAACGCCGCGUGAGUGAUGACGGCCUUCGGGUUGUAAAGCUCUGUUAAUCGGGAAGAAAGGCCUUUUUGCGAAUAGUGAGAAGGAUUGACGGUACCGGAAUAGAAAGCCACGGCUAACUACGUG
rnacentral:rRNA from 1 species